rnacentral:rRNA from 1 species
AUUGAACGCUGGCGGCAGGCCUAACACAUGCAAGUCGAGCGAGCGGCGGACGGGCGAGUAGUGUAUGGGGAUCUGCCCGAUGGAGGGGGAUAACUACUGGCAACGGUUGCUACUACCGCAUACUAUCGGAUGCACCCACAUGGGCUUAGCUAGUAGGUGGGGUAAAGGCUCCUCAAGGAGACGAUCUCUACCUGGUCAGAGAGGAUGGCCAGCCACACUGGAACUGAAACACGGACCAGACUCCUACGGGAGGGAGCAGUGGGGAAUAGUGCACGAUGGGCGCAGGCCUGGUGCAGCCAUGCCGGGUGUGUGAAGAAGUGCUGCGGGUUGUAAAGCACUUUGAGCGAGGAGUCGUUACUCGCAGGAGAAGCACCGGCUAACUCCGUGCCAGCAGCCGCGGUAAUAC